rnacentral:tRNA from 1 species
AAUCAAUGAACUUGAAUAAGUUUAUGUCUUGAAAACAUAACAUAAAAGUUUUAACCUUUUAUUGAUUU